UGAGGAAUUUUGCGCAAUGGGAGCAAUCCUGACGCAGCAACGCCGCGUGGGUGAAGAAGGCCUUCGGGUCGUAAAGCCCUGUCAGGUGGGAAGAAGGGUCUCAUCAGGAAAGGGGUGGGAUUUGACGGUACCGCCAGAGGAAGCACCGGCUAACUCCGUGCCAGCAGCCGCGGUAAUACGGAGGGUGCGAGCGUUAUUCGGAAUUACUGGGCGUAAAGCGCGUGUAGGCGGGGAGGCAAGUCUGAUGUGAAAGCCCCGGGCUUAACCCGGGAAGUGCAUUGGAAACUGCUUUUCUUGAGUACUGGAGAGGAAGGGGGAAUUCCCGGUGUAGAGGUGAAAUUCGUAGAGAUCGGGAGGAAUACCAGUGGCGAAGGCGCCCUUCUGGACGGUUACUGACGCUGAGACGCGAAAGCGUGGGGAGCAAACAGG
rnacentral:rRNA from 1 species